GGACAGUUAGCUCAGCUGGGAGAGCAUCUGUUUGACGUACAGAAGGUCAUAGGUUCGAGCCCUAUACUGUCCACCA
rnacentral:tRNA from 1 species